ACUCCUACGGGAGGCAGCAGUGGGGAAUAUUGCACAAUGGGCGCAAGCCUGAUGCAGCCAUGCCGCGUGUAGUCGAAGAAUGGGCCUUCGGGUUGAUAAAGUACUUUUCAGUCAGUGAGGAAGGUGGAGUCGUUAAUAGCGGCCUCAUUUGACGUUAGCUGCAGAAGAAGCACCGGCUAACUCCGUGCCAGCAGCCGCGGUAAUACGGAGGGUGCGAGCGUUAAUCGGAAUUACUGGGCGUAAAGCGCAUGCAGGUGGUUUGUUAAGUCAGAUGUGAAAGCCCGGGGCUCAACCUCGGAAUUGCAUUUGAAACUGGCAGACUAGAGUACUGUAGAGGGGGGUAGAAUUUCAGGUGUAGCGGUGAAAUGCGUAGAGAUCUGAAGGAAUACCGGUGGCGAAGGCGGCCCCCCUGGGAC
rnacentral:rRNA from 1 species